GGUUACGGUGGUUACCGACGAUGAAGAGGGCGGCGCGCCAGCCGCCGCGGCCGUCGGAUGGCUCUGGACGAGGAGGAAGUGGCCCUCCGGACUCCAUUGCUUUUCGCGCCUUCGCCUCCGGAGGUGGUUCCUGAUGGAUUAUUCAGUUUGGGCUGUGCCUACGCCAGAGUUUACAGAGAUCGCAGUUUGACUGCUCAUUUCGGAGGGUUUGGUAGUACUACACGCGGCUCGCGUGAUCCAGACGGGCCUGUCUAAAUCGUACUGCUCGAUGCAUUUGUGCCGCGAUGUUGCGCAUGGGGUCACCAGUCACCACGCGUGAUGGAGUUUAUGAGGAAGACAAUGGUUUCCAACCUCAUCCUAUCGCUGCUUCUCAUGCAUUCAGGCCUGGUGCCAUCUGUGCUUGGAGAUGUCUGCUGUCAAGAGACUGCUGACGACUUUCACUGCUGGUACCGACGACCAUUGUACCUCUGUCUCAAGACCGCCAAAUGCAGGGGCUAUUGUUUGGACACGGCUACGUCGACGCGCGAUGCAAUUGGACAUUUCCUUACAUAGGGCUCUGUGAAUGUAAGUUGCCGAAGUGCAAUCACGGGGCAGUGGCAGAGGCAGCAGGCAGUCCUUCGCAGGAUUGAUCCAAGAGUAGUGCGAGCCAUAGAGAAAUGUUUGUCAUUUCCAAGCUUGAUAUGCCCACGGUUCUAGCUGUUGCUGCUCUGAAAAUAAAAUAAAUAAAUAAGAAGAUUUACUAAAUUAAAAUAUACCGUAUUGUUCA